AAACUUUCCACAAGUAUGAUGGAUUUAUAUAUCCUGAACCAUCUACAUGGUCAUGGGCAUGGGACAAAUUGGACAAAUGGUUUUCUUCUGGAUCUGCAUUGGAUGACAGGAGAGCAUUCUUUCGAGAAUUUUUCCCGAAGUGGAGCGGAUUUCACGUUGGUUCCUGUGAUCCCAAAAUUCAACCGGUGGAAGCACUAGAACAGGUCGAAUGUUUGGUUGAGGACAUUUCUGCAGUCUGGACAGUUGCUA